UACGUAGGCAGCAAGCGUUGUUCGGAGUUACUGGGCGUAAAGGGUGCGUAGGUGGCUCUAUAAGUAUGGUGUGAAAUCUCCCGGCUUAACUGGGAGGGUGCGCCGUAGACUGUGGGGCUAGAGUGUGGGAGAGGAAAGUGGAAUUCCUGGUGUAGCGGUGAAAUGCGUAGAUAUCAGGAGGAACACCAGUGGCGAAGGCGGUUGCCUGGAGCUUUGCUGACGCUGAUGCGCGAAAGCGUGGGGAGCGAUCCGG
rnacentral:rRNA from 1 species